rnacentral:rRNA from 1 species
GACGAACGCUGGCGGCGUGCCUAACACAUGCAAGUCGAGCGCUGAAGGUUGGUCCUUGUACCAACUGGUUGAGCAGCGAACGGGUGAGUAACGCGUGGGGAAUAUGCCUCUCAGCGGGGGACAAUAAUUGCAAACGAAUGCUACUACCGCAUAAUAUCUUUAAACACAAGUUUUAAGUUUGAAAGAUGCAAUUUCAUCACUUAAAGAUGAUCCCUCGUUGUAUUCGCUAGUUGGUGGGGUAAAGGGUCACCCAGGCGGGGAUACAUAGCCGACCUGAGAGGGUGGGCGGCCAGACUGGGAGGGAGACACGGACCGAACACCUACGGGAGGCAGCCGUAGGGGAUCUACAGGGAUGGACGAAAGGCUGACUGAGGGACGCCGCGUGAGUGAAGGAGGUUUUCGGGUCGUAAGAGUCUGUUGGUAGAGAGGGAAGUAGGUGAGAGUUGAAAGCGCAUCAAGUGACGGUAACUGGAGAAAAAGCGACGGCUAACUACGUG